rnacentral:misc_RNA from 1 species
AUAUUAUUAUGCUUUCUUGCACCACCACUAUUUUCUUUGCGUGCUUGCUAUAGCUCCUAUAUUAUUCCCAUACAUGUCCACCCCCUGCUCCAGCUUCCUGGCAACAAUGGAGUACCCUGCAAAUCCUAACCCUAAUUCGCAUCUUCCUCCUCCUCCUCAGUACUUCGACCAGAAUAUCCUCGACCCUUUUCUGGAGGAGUUUCAGUUAUCGGAUUAUCUCAUGCUUGAUGCUCAUAUUUAUGGGUUCGCUAAUGAUUCCACCAAUUCAGAGCAUAGUAUGGUGUUAUCGGAGCAAGUUCUUAGUGGUGGUGGUGCAAAACCAAGAAAUGCUAGAAGCAAUAAAUCCAGAAGGGGAUUCAAGAAAGAGAAGGGUGAAGUGAGACAUAGGGUUGCAUUUACAACUAAAUCGGAUUUGGAUAUCAUGGAUGAUGGGUUUAAGUGGAGGAAG